CCUACGGGCGGCUGCAGUGGGGAAUAUUGCACAAUGGGCGCAAGCCUGAUGCAGCCAUGCCGCGUGUGUGAAGAAGGCCUUCGGGUUGUAAAGCACUUUCAGCGGGGAGGAAGGCGGUGAGGUUAAUAACCUCAUCGAUUGACGUUACCCGCAGAAGAAGCACCGGCUAACUCCGUGCCAGCAGCCGCGGUAAUACGGAGGGUGCAAGCGUUAAUCGGAAUUACUGGGCGUAAAGCGCACGCAGGCGGUCUGUCAAGUCGGAUGUGAAAUCCCCGGGCUCAACCUGGGAACUGCAUUCGAAACUGGCAGGCUAGAGUCUUGUAGAGGGGGGUAGAAUUCCAGGUGUAGCGGUGAAAUGCGUAGAGAUCUGGAGGAAUACCGGUGGCGAAGGCGGCCCCCUGGACAAAGACUGACGCUCAGGUGCGAAAGCGUGGGGAGCAAACAGGAUAGAUACCCCAGUAGUC
rnacentral:rRNA from 1 species